GUUUGGUUUCCGUCAUCUGCGCCGUUCUCAUGUCUUUAUUUUUUUUUCGCUCUUGUUAGUUAUUAUUUCUGGUGCCGCUGAGUAUACAGCCAAAAGAUAUGGAUUCUUCACGUUCUCACAUAAUUAGCAAAAUUAGAUAGCGCAGAGCCUCCGACACCAUCCAUUUCUACGGCACCGGAAUCUUUGCGGAAAACUGCGCAGAGCAUCUAGGGCCACCGAAAUCGUAGCAGAAAAUUGGGAAGCAGCGCAGUCUCCGACACCAUCCAUUUUUACGCCACCGAAACCAAUUGGAAAAUCGCGCAGAACCUUUACGGUCGCAGACAUCGUUGUGAAAAACUAGCAAACAGCGCAGAGCCUCCGACACCAUCUAUUUCAACGGCACGCCAUGGAUUCAGCCGUGGUUGCAACUGAAUAUAUACAAUCGAGAUCAAAUGUACAACUUUGCCUCCGCUAUCAGUUUAACAAAAUGAUGCAAUCGUUUUGCCUUAAUUUCCAAAAGAAAACGCUUUAAUAAAAUAAAUAAUGAA